rnacentral:rRNA from 1 species
AGUGAACGCUGGCGGUAGGCCUAACACAUGCCAGUCGAACGGCAGCACAGUAAGAGCUUGCUCUUACGGGUGGCGAGUGGCGGACGGGUGAGGAAUACAUCGGAAUCUACUUUUUCGUGGGGGAUAACGUAGGGAAACUUACGCUAAUACCGCAUACGACCUACGGGUGAAAGCAGGGGAUCUUCGGACCUUGCGCGAGUGAAUGAGCCGAUGUCGGAUUAGCUAGUUGGCGGGGUAAAGGCCCACCAAGGCGACGAUCCGUAGCUGGUCUGAGAGGAUGAUCAGCCACACUGGAACUGAGACACGGUCCAGACUCCUACGGGAGGCAGCAGUGGGGAAUAUUGGACAAUGGGCGCAAGCCUGAUCCAGCCAUACCGCGUGGGUGAAGAAGGCCUUCGGGUUGUAAAGCCCUUUUGUUGGGAAAGAAAAGCAGCAGGUUAAUACCCCGCUGUUCUGACGGUACCCAAAGAAUAAGCACCGGCUAACUUCGUGC